GCCAAACACACUGAGCCACGUACAGCAUGCUCAUGCUGCGAGGCUCCCCGGAUGAAGAUGACACAGUAGGGUUGUGCGGUGUCAGGUAGAUGGCGACACUGAAGCCUGCAAUGGAGGCAGGUGUUGCUUUCUUCUGAUCUCCUCAGAGAUGCUGUGUGAUCUGAUCUGAGUCAGGAGAGGAGUAGACAUUAUGUAAAUGACAGAGCGGAAGGAGGAUUGGCGUGAGAGAGGUCACUGGCAAGGACGCAGAGACUCACCAGCCCUUCUGCCCACAGUGAUCCUUUCUGUGACUGAACGUUGAUGAGUUCCAUCUUGUGCCGGCCUUGUGUGACAAUCACAGCUGCUGAGAGUUCAAGGGUGCAAUGGCAUGGUAAACAUCUGCAAUGCAGAAGACUACACAGUAUGAACAGAAAUGAAGCUGCAAAGAAGACUCCGAGACCAGACCAGCUUGCCUAGACAAGGGAGAAUCCAGAUGCGCUGCCUGGAAGAGGCUUAGGCUGGACAGAAGCACCUGGAAAGGACACUCUUCAACCCGUUGAGCCGCAGUGAGGCUCUGAGAAGGGACGUAGGGUGGUCUGAGCAAUUUAAAGCAUGCAGCUUUAUAGAUGAUGUCACACUAUGAGCAGUGGCCAAAUCUCUGCAAGGGUCACUGCUUCAUGAGAAUACUUUUCCUUGGGAGAUGUGACACACGCUCCAGCGAGGGAGCUCAAGACGGAAGAAAGCAUAGCUACCACAGAAGCCCAACUGGGUGGACCAAUGCGCUUAUUGGGGUUACUUAUCGGAGCACAAAAGACUCAAAGACAGCUGUAUUAGCAAUAUCCAAAAACAGGGCUGGGAACCCGGAGCACCAUCUGUCGGUCUCCUCACCAGAACCGUUUCUUUAAUGCCAGCCAACCACGUCAGCUCUGGAUCAGUUGUAGCCUAGGAACAGCUUCGCUCUCCUGUUCUGAGCCCCAUGCGGAUGCAGAGCACAGGUGGCCAGCGUAUUUUCACAUGCUGCUCUGCCCUGGACCUUGGAUCACACCCUCGCUACCCUUCCAUCAUAAUAUGGCUUCCUCUUCGUGCUCGGUCGUUUCCAGUUGAUUCUAGAAGGUUUCCUGGGUUUUUCUGCAGGUGUUCGUGCAGCUGAUGGAGUAGACAGUUAUUCUUCCCCCUUAAUUUGUUUAGCUCUUCGUGCAGUAGAUUUCAUACUAUGUGUAUAUAUUUUAAAAGGUUUAUUUGUUUUGGCAGGUUUAUACUCUACCAUCGUACUAUGUCAUGAGCACAUCACAAUAUAAAGUGGUCCCUGCAAUUAGGUUAGCAGUGGCUAUGACUUCAAAAUACUUGGCUGCUUUAGAGGUUUUGACAGCGUGAACAAAGUGCUCCCUUUGAGCGCUGUCACCUAGGGAUGGAUGUGUUUGUGGCAUUCACGGGGCAGAAGUGAGGUAAGACAACCACAUCUCCCUAUUAUGGUGCCAGAUAGAGUCUGCCCCUCCUUGAAUUUAAAGACUAGUACAGUUGGAAAACGCCACACCCGCCUGUUGUUUGUUGAGCGCUAAUGACUGAACAUGCCUUUGAUCUUGUGUCUCUUCUACACCUGAACUUGGGUUUGUAUUGCAAGUAUGUACACACUGGUAUGUCUCAGUCAGUGUUCUGUGUACUGAAGAGACACCAUGAUCACGACAAUGAUUACCAAAGAAAGCAUUUACUGGAGGCUUGCUUACGGUUUCAGAGGUUUCGUUCAUUAUCAUCAUGGUGGGGAGCAUAGUGGCAGACAGGCAGACAUGGUGCUGGAGAAGGAGCUGAGAGUUCUACAUCUGGAUCCGCAGGCAGCAGAAAGAGAGAGAUCUUGGUCAGAGCUUAGUAUUUUGAAACCUCAAAGCCCACCCCCGAGUGACACAGUCCCUACAACAAGGCCACACCUCCUAACCCUUUCAAAUGGUGUCACUCCCUAAGAAUUCAAAUAUGAGAAACUGCGAGUCCAUUCUUAUUCCAAGCAGCACACAGUAUUUCUAGUGACUUCUUGGAGACGAUGCAUUACUCUGUGUAUAUCUUGACAUGUCUGAUACUUACCAAGCUGAUUAAAAUUGCCGUUCUAACUUU
rnacentral:lncRNA from 1 species